AAUAGCUACUGUUCAACUCACCAGAUUGAUACAAAUGCACACACAGCUCGUCCUAUAGAAACUGCGUCUGUUCCACGAAUAGUGAGAUCAAAGGAGAAGUUAGCUCUCGAAAUUAGUUAAUAGCUUUCGAAAUAAUCUAAUCACAAUUAAACCUGACAAAGGCCAAAUAAGUAAAGAAAAACAAUUUCUAAAGUUUGGGCUUCUCAACAUUAGAUCCCCUGCACCGAAAGCAAUUAUUGUUAAUGAAAUGAUCUCAGAUUAUAGUUUCGACGCACUCUGUCUUACCGAAACUUGGCUUAGACCAAAUGAAUACAUUGGUCUGAAUGAGUCUACUCCAUCAGGAUAUUCCUAUAAGCAUGAGCCCCGUCAGACUGGUCGUUGCGGUGGUGUUGCAACCAUUUAUAACUAUUCUCUUACCGUCACUCAGAAAAUAGGACCCAGGUUUAGCUCAUUUGAAGUGCUUCUCCUUAAUGUUGCACAAAAAAUCCCUACUACAUCUUUCUCUGGCCAUCGUAUAUAGACCCCCGGGGCCGUACGCUGAUUUUCUUAAAGAGUUUGCAUAUUUACUCUCAGAUCUUUUGAUCAGUUUUGACAAAGUGUUAAUUGUAGGAGAAUUUAACAUUCAUGUAGACGAUGCUAACGAUACUUUAGGACUCGCAUUUAUCGAUUUACUAAAUUCCUUUGGGGUUAAACAAAACAUAAAUAGACCAACUCAUCGUUUUAAUCAUACACUAGAUUUAGUUAUAUCACAUGGGACCGAUGUCACUGAUGUAGCCAUUCUACCUCAAAGCGAUGACAUCACAGACCAUCACCUAUUAGUGUACACUCUACCUGUAGAACAUAUUAGACAUGUCUCUCCACGUUAUCAAUUUGGUAGAACUAUUACUCCGACCACUAAAGACAGAUUCACAAGCACUCUCCCAGAUCUGUCUCAACUUUUUACUAGACCCCUAAAUGCAGAUGAUUUAGAUGAAGUAACUAACAGCAUAGGCACUAUUUUCACCAGCACACUAAACACUGUUGCCCCCAUCCGACUAAUAAAGGUCAGAGAUAAAACACCUGCACCAUGGUAUAAUAGUCAUACUCGCGCCCUCAAGAGAGCAACCCGUAACCUCGAGCGAAAGUGGAGAAAAACCAAAUUAGAAGUUUUUAGAAUUGCGUUUAAAGACAGUUUGUCUUUGUUGCUAUAGACAGGCUCUAAAGGCUGCUAGGGCUGAGCAUCUGAGCAAACUGAUAGAAAUAAACCCAGAUUCUUAUUUAGUACAGUGGUUAGACAAACAAAACAUCAGAUUCCUGGAGAGAGUAUUUCAUCACAGUUUAGUAGUGAGGACUUUAAUUGAUAGUAUCAGGAACAAAAUAUUGGAUGUUCAACAUUUGACAGCAUCUGGUGAUCUAGACCAGCCUAUAGCUCCACAUUUAAAGCUACAAUGCUUUACCAGUAUAGGGCAGGAAGAGCUAUUUAAACUUAUGGCUAACCCACGGCUAAAUCAACAACGUGUUGGUUAGAUCCAAUUCCAACUAGAUUGCUGAAAGAAGUGAUACAUGCAGCUGGAGAGCCUCUUCUGAAUAUUAUUAAUUCCUCGUUAUAUCUAGGUCAUGUCCCAAAAUCUCAAGUUAGCAGUUAUUAAGCGUCUUCUUAAGAAACCUAAACUAGACCCUAAUAUCAAAUUACAGACCUGUUUCAAACCUUCUGUUAAUAUCAACAGUAUUAGAAAAAGUGGUGUCAGCUCAAUUAUGCUCCUUCUUACAGGAAAACAAUAUCCUUGAAGAAUUUCAGUCAGGUUUCAGGCCCCAUCACAGUACAGAAACUGCACUAGUUAAAAUCACAAAUGACUUGCUUUUAGCUUCGGACCAAGGCUGCAUCUCCAUAUCAGUCCUGCUUGAUCUUAGUGCUGUGUUUGACACUAUAUAGAUCAUAACAUUCUUGUAGAUCGCUUACAAAAUCACAUAGGUUUGCAAGGACAGGCAUUAAAAUGGUUUAGAUCCUACCUGUCUGAUAGAUCCCCUUUUGUAGAUUUAAAUGGAGAACUAGUGUAGUGCCAGUGAAAUACGGGGUCCCACAAGGAUCAGUUUUAGGACUUCUGCUUUUCUCAGUAUACAUGCUUCCAUUGGGUAACAUAAUUAGACGGCAUGGGAUUAGUUUCCCGUGUUAUGCUGAUGAUAUAUAUCUCAUCAAAACCAGAUGAAAUAUCGAAUUUGUCUAGAUUAACUGUGUUAAAGAUAUUAAAGAUUGAAUGACCGAUAAUUUUCUAUUACUAAAUUCUGAUUAAGUCAGCUUGCAUUUAGAAGGAUGUACUAUUACUACUAGCUCAACAGUGAAAGACCUGGGUGUAAUAUUAGACAGCAACAAAAACAGCCUUCUUCCAUCUUAGAAAUAUUGCCAAGCUUAGGAACAUUUUAUCUGUAUCUGUCACGGCCAGGAUCCUCGCCCUAGGCGGGGCUCGAACCCAGGCCGUCCGUUGUGCACGUGCCCACGCUAGCACGCGGCUGAACGCAGACCCAGUCACAGGAUUCAGCGAAGCGCUGCUUUUAUUCACACGAAGACACGACAUGGGAAGACGAACAGGAUACGAGACAUGGCGUGGUUAAAAAAAAAAAAAAGGAAAAUGAAGCCGGAACGGGUAACAAGAUCAACUCAGGAGCAUAGACGGACUGGAACCACGGAACGAAUAACAGUAAACAAUCACGGACAAAGACGGGCACAAAAGGAUCCCUAUUUAUAGGGCUAGACAUUAGGGUAAACUGGGUACAGGUGAGACAGUCAGGGGAGAGAACAAUAGGACAGGUAAUCACAAGACACACGAACAAGCAGGCUUCUCGGGUUCACCUGCCAGCGCUUUCCUCGGGCCUGGCAGGGAACAGUCCAGCAGUUCCUGACAGGUUCUGAUGCAGAAAAGCUAGUUCAUGUGUUCAUGACCUCCAGACUGGACUAUUGUAAUGCAUUACUAGGUGGUUGUCCUGCAUCUUCAAUAAACAAGCUACAGUUAGUCCAAAAUGCAGCCGCCAGUGUUCUUACCAGGUCAAGAAAAUAUGAUCAUAUAACCCCAAUAUCAUCAUCCCUGCACUGGCUACCUGUUGAGUUUAGAAUUGACUAUAAACUAGCACUACUUACAUUCAAGGCUCUAAACGUGGUCUUCUAACACGUUACAAUCCACCACGCUCUUUAAGAUCACAAAACUCUGGACUUCUGGUAGUUCCCAGAAUAUCAAAGUCUACAAAAGGGGGUAUUUAGCUCCUAAACUUUGGAAUAGCCUUCCUGACAGUGUUCGGGGCUCAGACACAGUCUCCCAGUUCAAACGUACACUUAAGACUUAUCUCUUUAGCCUGGCAUACAUUUAAUACAUCCCAUUACCUUGUAAUUCAGUACAUCUGAUUAAAUGCACGUUAUCAUCUAGUGCUGCUAAUAUUAUGAACAGCAGCUAUGCUAAUUACUUUCCACUUGUUUCCUUUCUUCUACCCAUCCCGAGGCAUACAGAGAUUGCGCCAGCUCCAGUGGCAUCCAGAGAUGGACCAGCUGCAGCCGGGUUCUGCUUUGUGAGGAUUGGGCCUUUGACCAGUUUUCUACACAAUCAGAAGUAAAGUUGAUCAGUGCCACUAAUGGACAGAAGGUUGCAAUCAAGUCUCCAAAAAGAUGCCAUUUGAAAAACUGCAGCUUGCACACCUGAAAAUGCCCCUCCUGAGUGGUUCAGACAGGAGCAGUACCAGACAGACCCCGCUACCGUCUUUUCUGUGGGUGUGACGCUGUACAGGCUGGUGUGUGGCUGUCUUCCUUUCGAGACCAUUAGGGAAACGACAAAUGGCUAUUUGUUCUUCCCCACGAAAGUCUGUCUCAAGGCAAGGAACUAUACUCAAUUUAAUAAAUAAAAUUAUGAUUCAGAUUAGGAGGUAAAUUCUCCCAACCAGGAAAGGGUGCUAGUUCCAGCCAAUCGUCACAGUAUUUAAGCAGUCCUGUGUGCACGCUAAUGUGAAGUACUGUAAUGAGAAAAUGAGGAAAAGAAAGAAAAGAAUUGACAACAAAAAUCGUGUUUUCCAGUAAAAAUGGGAAACAUUAUCUUUUCAAGAGUUCAAGGGGGCACCCAUUUGUUUGGUUUGUUUAGAAAUGAGGUCUGUAAUGAAGGAUUUUAAUUUAAAUCACCAUUACACCACUACUCCCAAAUAUAAGUAUGAAAGAUACACCGGUGACGCCAGAAUUGCUCCCAUCACAAAUUUGUAAAAGUAAAAUACAUCGUCAGCAAAACCUUUUUGCCAAAUGCAUGACGGUGCAAGAAUCCUCACUAAAGGCAUCUUAUGCUGUUUCACUUGUGCUUGCAAAAGCAAAGAUGAUGUUAUCAGAGGGCGAAAUUGUACAUCAAUACGCGAUUGAGAUGGCUAAAGCAUUUGGAGAAGAGAAAAUAGUCAUGAACUUUGAGUCUGUAUCUUUGUCCCGCCGAACAGUAACGUGGAAUUUCUGACUUUCAAUGUCAAGUCUAAGAAAAACUAAAAUAUGCAAUAAACAAUUGCAAAUACUUUUCUCUUGCGCUGUAUGAAAGUACAGACGUGACCGAUGCCAGUCAGCUCCUGAUCUUUGCAAGAACGAUUACAGGGAACUUUGAUGAUCAAGAGGAGCUGUUAAAGCUGGCUUCAUUACAUGACACCACUACGCUUCAGUGGCCUGUAUGGCCACACCUGUGUCUCAAAGGAGAAUCGAGAUGCAGAGCAUUAUGAGGAAGUAACCUCCAAAUGAUCUUGGCUUGUUCUACAUUGAAUCACACAUGACUAAAUGCACUAAUACUUUGAAUUUUGAAUAUAAUGUUUCAAUUCUAAAAUUGUAAGACUGUUAUGAUCUAGCUGUGCUAAUGUAUAAUUGAGAGCAUGAGCUUCAGGCAGAAUUACAGUUGAACAUGCCAAAUGAAUCUGCUUUUGUUAAAUUUGUUUCUCAACAAGGACUUGUCAUAAUCACUUUUUCAGAACUGACAUUGAAAAGGGAAAUUAAAUAGUUUUUGGAUUUAGGGUCUCUAGCUUUUAUAAUCAAUGGGAAAAUGAAUUUCAAAUAGCAAGAAUUCUGUUGUUUAGAAAUGAGUUUUUAUUGUGAUUUUACUUUUGAAUAACCACAGACCUGAGGAACUACUGUACAAUGACUUUAAUCAUUGCCUUUCAGUCCUAUGUAGAUGUUGUGGCAAUAAUGUUAAGCUCCAACUCUUCUGCAUUCAUGCGUCUCCCGAACAUCUCCUGAUCAGCUACAGGCGCUUUGCGUGUUCGCUCGGCCGAGGUGGAGGGUCAGCGCGCACACAGGAGCAGCAGUGGAGUGAAGUUCUGUGUUGUGUCUGAUCUUCAGUCAAGAGGAGCUGAACAUGCCUUAGACUUCUUGUACUUUUUGGAUUCUCUAUCACAAGUCAAAGUCUGCUGUUGUGUGGACCACCUGUCUGGCAUUAAACUGACACCAAAACUAGCACACGAGUUGCCUGGCUGCUUGAUCUGAAAUUUUUA